rnacentral:lncRNA from 1 species
AUUUAUCAUUUAAAUCCUGUUGGUGCUUUUUUUGUACCCACAGCAUUCUGUGAAGCUUGAAUUUUACAAGGAAAUUGUGAUGUCAUGAUCAUGUUGGUUCUGCAAAAGACCUGUUAUAAAAAGGGCACCAGAAGUGCUGAGACUCCAGAAGGUCCAAGAACCGAGUGAGAAGAACAUCGUCCUCAUCUUCUCCUGGUCAGAAAGAACGCCAUGAAGACUCUCUGCUUCUCUCUGGGGCUGCUGUUGUUGGUUGUCUGCUUCAGUGAUGCCAUGCCCCAUGGAGCUACUAACAGUGCAGGACCUAAAGAAUGCUGCUUUGCAUUCAGCACAAAGGACGACUUUCCGGAGAAAAGAGUGACUGCAAUCAUCAGAACCCAUCCUUAUUGUUCAAUUAAGGCAUUUAUAGUCUCUACUGUUGCUGGAAAGAAGAUCUGCUACGAGAACAACAACAAGUGGGCUGUGGAUACUUUCAACAAGUUGAACCCUGAAGGAAGCGAUUAAAAUGCUUCAGAAUAUUCUAUUCUCUAAUUGAAAUAUAAAAUUACCCUCUUUUUUUGUAAAGCAUAACUGUGGUCUUGCUUUUUUCUAAAAUGGGCUUUUCACUGUGGUAAAUAUCUGUUUGUGGUUCAUACUUUGUAUGUUUUGUUCUUCUUUCAUGUCUUCUGCUUUGUUAAGGCACAGAGACUUAAUAAAGUUUUUAUUGCAAUGAAUUUCAAAGACUUUGAUGCUGUCCUUAGAGCUCUAUGUUAAAAGGUUGCUUACCUUUUCCCGGUACCUGGUUGAUUGCUUAAAUCUCUCACACUUCUUAUGUCCAUCAAGCUCGAAAAGGAUUAUUCUUAUCAACACCUGCAUGUCUAAUCUACAAAAUGAUGGCGUAUACCUAUAUAGCAGAUGUCCAAGGUAGACCUUUCUACAUCACCGUGACCCCGUGC